AUUGAACGCUGGCGGCAGGCUUAACACAUGCAAGUCGAGCGGAGAUGAGGUGCUUGCACCUUAUCUUAGCGGCGGACGGGUGAGUAAUGCUUAGGAAUCUGCCUAUUAGUGGGGGACAACAUUCCGAAAGGAAUGCUAAUACCGCAUACGCCCUACGGGGGAAAGCAGGGGAUCUUCGGACCUUGCGCUAAUAGAUGAGCCUAAGUCGGAUUAGCUCGUUGGUGGGGUAAAGGCCUACCAAGGCGACGAUCUGUAGCGGGUCGGAGCGGAGGAUCAGCCACACGGGGACUAGGCAACGGCCCAGGCUCCGACGGGAGGCAGCAGUGGGGAAGAUUGGACAAUGGUCGGAAGCCUGAUCCAGCAAUGCCGCGUGUGUGAAGAAGGCCUUUUGGUUGUAAAGCACUUUAAGCGAGGAGGAGGCUACCUGGAUUAAUACUCUAGGAUAGUGGACGUUACUCGCAGAAUAAGCACCGGCUAACUCUGUGCCAGCAGCCGCCGUAAGAC
rnacentral:rRNA from 1 species